rnacentral:misc_RNA from 1 species
GAUGAAGAACGCAGCGAAAUGCGAUAAGUAUUGUGAAUUGCAGAAUCCAGUGAAUCAUCGAAUCUUUGAACGCACAUUGCGCCCGCCAGUAUUCUGGCGGGCAUGCCUGUUCGAGCGUCAUUACAACCCUCAGGCCCCCGGGCCUGGCGUUGGGGAUCGGCGGAAGCCCCCUGCGGGCACAACGCCGUCCCCCAAAUACAGUGGCGGUCCCGCCGCAGCUUCCAUUGCGUAGUAGCUAACACCUCGCAACUGGAGAGCGGCGCGGCCACGCCGUAAAACACCCAACUUCUGAAUGUUGACCUCGAAUCAGGUAGGAAUACCCGCUGAACUUAAGCAUAUCAAUAAGCGGAGGA